rnacentral:rRNA from 1 species
UAAGGAAUAUUGGUCUAUGGACGCAAGUCUGAACCAGCCAUGCCGCGUGAAGGAUGAAGGUCCUCUGGAUUGUAAACUUCUUUUAUCUGGGACGAAAACGGGAUUUUUAUCUCAAUUGACGGUACCAGAGGAAUAAGCACCGGCUAACUCCGUGCCAGCAGCCGCGGUAAUACGGAGGGUGCGAGCGUUAUCCGGAUUUACUGGGUUUAAAGGGUGCGUAGGUGGGCUUAUAAGUCAGUGGUGAAAUCUCCGAGCUUAACUUGGAAACUGCCGUUGAUACUAUAGGUCUUGAAUUAUCUGGAGGUAAGCGGAAUAUGUCAUGUAGCGGUGAAAUGCUUAGAUAUGACAUGGAACACCAAUUGCGAAGGCAGCUUACUAUGCGGUGAUUGACACUGAGGCACGAAAGCGUGGGUAGCAAACA